rfam:Drosophila persimilis strain MSH-3 cont1.001188, whole genome shotgun sequence.
UUUGAUGUGAUGAUAAACUAUGAUAGGGACAUCUGAUGUCCAUGACUGAUUUAUCUUGAUAGUAGAACUGAUUACU